rnacentral:ribozyme from 1 species
UGCCCAGCAACUGCUAUCCAUACCUCCUCGUGGUACCGGCCGGAAACUAUGAGCAACCUUAGGGAAGAUCGGUGGGAACUUUGGUCAUAGGCUGACAGGGAAGA